rnacentral:misc_RNA from 1 species
UCUUUGUGUAGAAAUGUCCCUGU